GGCUCGUUAGCUCAGUAGGUUAGAGCACCGAUCUAAAAAGUCGGGGGCGAAGGUUCGAAUCCUUCACGAGUCG